AGCGAACGCUGGCGGCAGGCUUAACACAUGCAAGUCGAGCGGGCGUAGCAAUACGUCAGCGGCAGACGGGCGAGUAACGCGUGGGAACGUACCUUUUGGUUCGGAACAACACAGGGAAACUUGUGCUAAUACCGGAUAAGCCCUUACGGGGAAAGAUUUAUCGCCGAAAGAUCGGCCCGCGUCUGAUUAGCUAGUUGGUGAGGUAACGGCUCACCAAGGCGACGACGGGUAGCCGGCCUGAGAGGGCGACCGGCCACACUGGGACUGAGACACGGCCCAGACUCCUACGGGAGGCAGCAGUGGGGAAUUGUUCACAAUGGGCGCAAGCCUGAUGACGCAACGCCGCGUGGGGGAG
rnacentral:rRNA from 1 species